rnacentral:rRNA from 1 species
UACGGGGGGGGCAAGCGUUGUUCGGAAUUACUGGGCGUAAAGGGCGCGUAGGCGGCCUUCUAAGUCGAACGUGAAAUCCCCGGGCUCAACCCAGGAACUGCGUCCGAUACUGGUUGGCUUGAAUCCGGGAGAGGGAUGUGGAAUUCCAGGUGUAGCGGUGAAAUGACGUAGAUAUCAGGAGGAACACCGGUGGCGAAGGCGGGUCUCUGGGCUGACACUGACGCUCGAUGCACGAAAGCGUAGGGGAGCAAACAGG